UGAUUCUCCCUUUCUCCCUCUCCCCCUGCUCCUCCUCUCUCUCUCUCACUCUCUCUCUCUCUUUCUCUCUCCCUUUUGCUCUUCCUCAAAUAUACAAAUAAAUCUUGGGACCGGUUGGUUGCUUGCAUAGUAACAGGGAAAAUGUUCAAGGAAUUCACAAUUUGAAAUAACAAAGUGUAUAGAUUUAGCUGCAUACAGAGAAAAAGUAUGGAAUACAGAGUGAUGAUAAGAGGAUUCAUAUAAUUGGGUAAUUACAUGCUGAGAGAGAGGAAAAGUGACUUUUACAAAUUGAAUCUCUACUAUGCUUUUUAUUCCCUCUACAACAAAUUGUAUUAGUUUUUCUUAAAAAUAUGGUGGCUCAGGAAUAGUAGAAAUGGGUGGAGAUGGUAUUGCAAAUCAAGAAUGGAACUCCUCUAUUCUCAACACGCUAACUUUAUCCCCUUUCACACUGAAAUUUUCCUGCCCAUUCUAUUUGGUGGGCAGGCUUUUCUGAUAUAACUUGUUUUCAUAAACACAGAAUAACAAUGUGUGGGUGUGGGACCAGUUUGUGAAAUGAACAUGUCCUCUUAAAUGCCACACGUGCUCAUGUAGUCACACACUAGUCUACACAGCAGCAGUUGGACCCACCGUGUGCAGAGGCACAUUCACUCUGGAAGUUCUACAAUGACCUGUCGCCCAUGGGGAUGUGAUGAUGCACACAUUGCCUUCCAUUCCAACUGUCACUCUCUGAGCUGUGCAGCAGUAGUGGGGUAACAGGUGACAUGCUCCCCACGAUGGGAAAUCUGAAUUGUUUUUUCUACAGAGAUUUCCUUUUGGAGAGCAUCAAGGACUCCCAACAGUGAGGUGGAAGACUCUCCAGCUCCCACUGAGGGCCAGCUUGAAGAGCUUCCUAGCUGGAGUGUAGAAGAAGCCCCAACCCUCUCCAAGGUGGAUGCAGAAGGGAACAAAAAGGUCCCACCCCUUUUAUUUUAUAAAGAUUUACUUUCAUAGGCCUACUGUGACCAAAGAAGAAGAUUUGGUUGUGGAGAACCUGGAAGAUGAUUCGAGUCAGAUGGUGGAAGACUCUCCAGAUCCGAACAGCACUCAGAUAGGACUCAACGGGAGAGGGUUCCAGGUGAUGAAGAAGGUGGGGCUGCCCUGGCUGCUUUGGAGAACCACCCAGAUUCCAGAUUCCCACUGGUAAUCUCCCACCGAAGGCCUGCUUGAAGAGCUUCCCAGCUGGAGCAUAGAAGAAGAAGCCCCAACCCUCUCCAAGGUGGAUGCAGAAGGGAACAAAAAGGCCCCCCCCCUUUUUUUUUAUCAACAUCUACUUUUACAGGACUACUGUGACCAAUGAAGAAGGCAGGACAUAGGGAUGGAGGCAGGAGUCCAGCCUACGUUGAACUUGCCCUUGGCCCUGGGCAGAAAGACAACAUGUCCUGUAUCAUAGACUUUGGAGUGGUAAUCUUGCUAGUGGCAAUGUUUUAAACUGGUAUAUGCAUGUGGAAAUUUUAAAAACCUUGUUGCAAUUUCUUUAGCCUUCCCCCCAUUGAGAAACGUGCUUUAAAUUGGUAACACUCUCUUUAUACUGUCAUGUUCACUUGUACUUUGGUUGGGGGCUGGGCACACAUGACAAGUUCUCACGGCCUCAGGAUGAGAAUGGGUGUGAUGAGGUGUAGA